rnacentral:rRNA from 1 species
GCUGCAUGGCUGUCGUCAGCUCGUGUUGUGAAAUGUUGGGUUAAGUCCCGCAACGAGCGCAACCCUUAUCCUUUGUUGCCAGCGGUUAGGCCGGGAACUCAAAGGAGACUGCCAGUGAUAAACUGGAGGAAGGUGGGGAUGACGUCAAGUCAUCAUGGCCCUUACGACCAGGGCUACACACGUGCUACAAUGGCAUAUACAAAGAGAAGCGACCUCGCGAGAGCAAGCGGACCUCAUAAAGUAUGUCGUAGUCCGGAUUGGAGUCUGCAACUCGACUCCAUGAAGUCGGAAUCGCUAGUAAUCGUAGAUCAGAAUGCUACGGUGAAUACGUUCCCGGGCCUUGUACACACCGCCCGUCACACCAUGGGAGUGGGUUGCAAAAGAAGUAGGUAGCUUAACCUUCGGGAGGGCGCUUACCACUUUGUGAUUCAUGACUGGGGUGAAGUCGUAACAAGGUAACCGUAGGGGAACCUGCGGUUGGAUCACCUCCUUACCUUAAAGAA